UUAAAUUGACGAGUUUGAUCAUGUCUCAGCUUGAACGCUGGCGGCAUGCCUAACCCAUGCAAGUCGCACGGUAACAGUAAUCAGCUUGCUGAUUCGCUG
rnacentral:rRNA from 1 species